rnacentral:rRNA from 1 species
CAGCCGCCGCGGUAAUACGAAGGGGGCUAGCGUUGUUCGGAUUUACUGGGCGUAAAGGGCGCGUAGGCGGGCGAAUAAGUCAGGGGUGAAAUCCCAAGGCUCAACCUUGGAACUGCCUUUGAUACUGUUUGUCUUGAGUUCGAGAGAGGUAAGUGGAACUGCGAGUGUAGAGGUGAAAUUCGUAGAUAUUCGCAAGAACACCAGUGGCGAAGGCGGCUUACUAGCUCGAAACUGACGCUGAGGCGCGAAAGCGUGGGGAGCAAACAGGAUUAGAGACCCCGGUAGUCCCUGUCUCUUAUAC